AAAGCACCGUCUGCUGGGCAUGUUCAUGGGCUUGCCGUAACGGCUGGUCAACAGGUUCCUGACAGUAGUGUUCUCUUCAGCAUCAAGGUUAGCAAUUUCUUUACAACGAACUUUUUCAACGAAUCAACAAAUCUAAAUGAAGAUUAGUUGACUAUUUCUCCUGAUAUUACUCACAGGAGUAGUAUCCAGACCAGAAAGAAUAAUUCAAAAUAAAACAAAUAAGUGGGCGUGACAAAUUGUUACGACGACGGUGAUUGUUUGUGGCUUAGGGGCAUCGCUGCUUGGUAAACCUGAGAUGGUGCUCAUUUGCGACAAGGAGUGGAAGUUCACUCAAUGCCGGCGAGGAAAGGCAGUCACUAAAAUGUAUAAAAUGUUAUUCGUUACAUUGUAUAUUUACACAGCCAAACGCGCAAUUUCUGCUCUCAUCUAUUGGUGGAGUCGAUCGGACCUGUAAAACCUGUACAUUUUUCGGGAUUCAUUGGCAGAUGUUCCAUUUAUUGGAUGGCUUUCG
rnacentral:lncRNA from 1 species